CAGAGCGUGAGGCUCAGUCGUGGCGUCAGCUACGUGCUGGGCCGACCCUCCCACCCGUGUCGAUUUCUAUCUUGUUGCUUUGGCGGGCCGGGCUACGUCGUCGCUGCCCGUACGGACAUGCGUCGGCCGCCCACCGGUUUCGACUGGAGCGCGUCCGCCAAAGACCUAACCAAAACUCAUGUUGUCUUUGUCGUCUCAGCUUUAUUAUUGAAUUGAUA
rnacentral:misc_RNA from 1 species